rnacentral:tRNA from 1 species
GCAUUGGUGGUUCAGUGGCAGAAUUUAUGCCUUCCAUGCAGGAGGCCUAAGUUUAAUUCCUAGCCAAUCCC